UAUAUAUUAUGCAUCUACAUGCUCAGCUGUGGAUACUAAAUUUAAAAUUGAUUAAAAAAAAAAAGAAGAAAAGAAAGAUGAUGGGGAUGGAUUAUACAUCUUUGAGGAAAAUGUGACUGACACCACCAAGGUCACAGCACUCACAAGUGCCACCCGCGGCAGAGACACGGAAGGCUGCAUGUUAUACUGCCAGCGUCGCUUCUGCAGCCCUCAGUGAGAUGAGAACUCCGAGACGAGGAGCACUGCUGCCCUGUCCUGCCAACGCAGCCGCUGUGUGAAUACUUGAGAGCUGACUCAGUAACUGCCCCGCUCACUUUGAUUUCUAAUACCUGCAGAGCAACGAUUCACGAUGUACUUCCUGGAAACUGAAAUCUAAAUGAGUCUUGCUCAAAGUGAAAGGAUGCAAAUCAACUCAUAGACGUACACCAUCUACAGCGACCGUGUCUCCUCCAAGCUGAGCAAGCGUCUGCCAGGAGCCCGCAGCGGCUCUCGGAGCAGCCGGGUGCUACAUGGACCA